rnacentral:rRNA from 1 species
GAUGAACGCUGGCGGCGUGCUUAACACAUGCAAGUCGAACGAUGAAGCCCAGCUUGCUGGGUGGAUUAGUGGCGAACGGGUGAGUAACACGUGAGUAACCUGCCCUUGACUCUGGGAUAAGCCUGGGAAACUGGGUCUAAUACUGGAUAUGACUUCUCAUCGCAUGGUGGGGGGUGGAAAGAUUUAUUGGUCUUGGAUGGACUCGCGGCCUAUCAGCUUGUUGGUGAGGUAAUGGCUCACCAAGGCGACGACGGGUAGCCGGCCUGAGAGGGUGACCGGCCAAAAUGGGAAUGAGGAACGGGCCAGAAUCCUAAGGGAGGCAGCAGGGGGGAAAAUUGGAAAAAGGGCGGAAGCCUGAUGCAGGGAAGCCGGGGGAGGGAAGACGGCCUUCGGGUUUGAAACCUCUUUCAGGAGGGAAGAAGCGAGAGUGACGGUACCUGCAGAAGAAGCGCCGGCUAACUACGUG